UACAUUUUUGAUUGCACGCCUCUGAUCAAAUGCCACAGCUGUUAAUGCAUUUAUAAUGAGUCAGUGCUCGAGAAUAAAACGGUUGAGUUAACCAACGGCAUGUUCGGGGAUAAUCGCCGGGAUUUUUCAAACGAGUGGAGAUUACAGUGUUAAAAAUUUUCCAUUGAAAUUUUCAGCGAGAUAUAUAAUAUUUUUAUUAAAUGCCCUAAGUAAUUUUAAAAAAAUACAUAAUGUGUAAAAGUUUUGGAUAUCACUAUCAUUAUCAUUGAAUUUUAGGUUUCGAUUAGUAAAUUCUUUAUCUCGCUCAAAACUUUCUAUAAAUGUGCGUGAUUUCCGUUUUUUGUUUUUUUUUUCGAAAUUCAACAGCGAAGUGGCACAUAAAGCGAUAUUAAAUCAAUUUCAGAGUCGAAGAAAAUAUCGAUUGAUCAAGCUGCCAGGAUAGAUCGAUAAUUAUAAUAAACCCGCGAUAUUUGAAAAAUGAGUACGGACAUGGAAAUUUUGUGAGAAAAUUGGAGUGAAUUAUGUCGAGCGACGCUCAUUACACCUCGAAAUAACCGAAUAACAACGCCACGGUGUCAUCUGUCAGUCAUGAAAGAUAACGUAACGGAAUUUGUGUGCGCACGACAGUGUCGGCAACAACUCAGAAAUACUGAACAGUAUCCAACAAAAUCACAACAAAUUUCUCCUCCGAGUGCAAUAAUAAUUAUCAAAUGUCCAUUAACUCCGCAGUUCAAGUAAAAACUCUCCGCUAAGACCACUCUUGACUGGAUUAUUGUUAGCCAUUGAAAGACUCGAGCGAUCAACUGUAAAAAAAAAACAGCGAUAAAAGAAGGCGGAUACCGGCAAGUGGAAUAGUGAAGGUACCGUCUCCUUCAGUGACGUCGACGUCGUUCCACACUCGGCUUUAAACCUUUUCCCCUCUCCGCAAACAACUUCCUCAGCCACAGACACUGACACAUACUUUCAGAGAUAUUAUCGGUGAAGGAUGGAGUGAUGCCGAGGGGGAGGAAACCGAGAAUAUGAUCCUUUUCCGGGUGGGAUUAAUCACGUUUUACUGCUGGUGGCAUCAGUGAUUAAAGACUUUUUUUCAAAUUACAAUGCACUUCCCCUGCACUCGCGAUUUUUAGUUUUCGCGAAUUCCUCACAAAUACGUGUGGGAGGAAUAAAUAAUGACGUAGAGGGGGUGUAAGAGAGCGUCGAUGAGUCAACGCCCGUCAUAUCCGUGAAUUUGUAAGAAUAAAUCGAGGAUCACAAUACAAGAUAUCUCUCUCAAUCUCUCGGACUCGGUCAAUGGAUGACUCAUGAGCUCCUCCAUGAGCUCCUCCAUGUAAUGGUUAAUUACUCUAGUCUUGAAAUACAGGAACGUCAUAGGUGGAAUAAAAGAGGCGUAAUGAAUUUGCAUGUCUGCAGGAAUUCAGUGAUAAUCCUAGCGGAUUUACUCGGAAAUUUUAUACGAGACCGAGAAAAAAAAAAGAUUGUUAAUUUUCAGGAAAAGUUACUUGAUACUAGAACUCUGUAUUAAUGCAAAUUAAUG